AAUAUGGUCUUUAUAGGCCUAUGUCUAUUAGGCUUGCUUUGAUUUAUUUCCUUUAGUUGAAAAUCCUGUUGGGUACUCUUAUUUUCAGUUUAGUUUCAGCAUAUUCUUAACUGGCUUCUAAGACUGAAUUGCAUCUGAAUUAAACGCAAGUUUUCUUAGCCUUCUAUACUGACAUAACUAACUUGGUUAAAAAGUAAUUACUUGAGUUUAGGACGGUGCGAUUCAUUUUGUGGACAAUUCAUUAGUCUGAGCAGUCACAUUUAGGCUACUAAAUCAGUACUAUUUUCAGAAAUGCAAAAUACGAACUUCGUGCUGGGGAAAAACAAAAUUUCCUUAACGACACCAGGAAGUGGUGCCUCUUGAAAAGGCCCUUGGAUUUGUUUUCCUGUUAGUGGAUGCUGUCAGUGACUGCAAAGUCAGGCUUCAAAGUCUGGUGUUGAGUGUACCCAAAGGAAAGCAUGGAAAUGUUCUCAUUUUCUAAGGAGAGUUUACCAGUUUUGGCUGAAAGCUGCAGCAGUUGCUUUAUGCUGGCAUUUGUGGGAUUCCUGUAUUUCAAAUACAAGGUGUCUGGAGACAUUCAGCUCUGGUUUCCUGAGGGACAAGAAGUGUUAUGAGUAGCAGUGGUACACGAGAGCAGGGAACAGGAGGCUGGGGACUCUUCAUCUAUUUUCUGUCUCCUUAGAGCUGCAGACACCAGCAAGCUGGCUUCUCUUUCUUCUUGCUGUUCUGAGCUGUCGCGAUUUGCUUUUCUAUCUGCAUGUCAGCUGCCCUCUCACUGUCUGUUGCACCCUCACAUGGACAGGAAACCAUGUUUCCACUUGCCAGCAGCGUGAUUUCAGAGAUCAGCUUUUCAUGGUUGUCUCUGUCCGCAUCCACAUCCAGCAAGCACAUGUAAGGCAGCAAAUCUUCAUGUGCGCAAACAAAUUACAAACGCUCCGGUCCUCAGUCCGGAUUGUGCUUGGUUUGGGAGAACCUAGAAACAAGAUCCAGCCCUCUGUUAGGGUAGUGUGGAUGCUCGGAUCGUUAUUUCUGUAAAUAUUUGAGCUUAAAUAAUGUUUCAUAAUGCUUAUAUUCACUAGUGAAUAAGACAGCUGAUGUCCUUUGCUGCUGUAUUACUCUGUGGUCAUUUGUUUGCUGGCUCCUAAUAGCCACUGCGCAGUUUUGGCCUCCCUGCUGCACUUCCUGCAGCGGCUGCUUGCCAAAGCUCGCUGUGCUCAGGCGGGCUGGACAAGUGUCUCCCCCUCCCUACGUCCUUUCCUACAAUCUCCAGAUCGAAGCCUUCAUACGCCUUUCCUCUGAUACCAUAAUUUCCUUUGCUCUCCUUGGUUUCACCUCUCUUGUGCUAGCCGCCUCUGCCGUUCCCGUUCUGGGCAUGCCCUCCUCUCCGUUCAGCCGCGCUUGCCGUCUUUGUUCCCUUCCAGCGUGACACCAGUGUCACUGAUCAGCCGGCUCCCUGCAGGAGUCCACUUCAAAGAGUGAUUUAGAGUCUUUCUGUAAGUCCUUCUGGCUUCUGUUGAAUGAGGUCUUUAAAAAAAAAAAAAAAAAAAAAAAGUCACCUUACCAAUUGAAAAAUUUUCUCUUAAUUUUUCUAUUGGUAUUUCUCUAUGCAUUUGAUACUAUUGCUCACUGUUUCAUCACUGAGACUUGUAUUGGGGGGGGGAAAUGAGAUUGACAAACUUGUGCUUACCUCAAACUAAAAAGCUUAUUCAAUUAUUCAGAUUUCACAAAAAGAAAAUGCAUUUUAAAUAACUUGUUUGCUCACUUUAAGCCUAAUGCAAAUUAAAAUGUCUGCUUCACACACUUGUCUGAAUUUGGGUUAUGUUAGAAACCCUGAGAGAUCUUUUGCAUCUUAAUCAGUGCUGUGAGCUUCUCCUUUUGGACAGCCACCAGAGGAGCUUGGAGGGAAAGACGAGCGGAGCUGAAGGCGAAGGCCUGCUAGCAGGGAGCCCUGGCCGUCCCGCAGCGGCGGGGCUGAGCGAGGUGGCCGCGCACCGAGCCGUCCCGCGGAGGAAGCCCCCUGCGCCCGCAGAUGUGCCCGGCGGUUCCGGCUGCGCCUCCCUGGCGCUGCCUCCUGUGCUGCGGCUGGAGCCUGGAGCCCCGCAGGGAGCUGGGUGCCGAGACAGCCUGGGCCGUGGCAAAACGCAAAAAGGCAGAGAGAGAUUUGCUUCAGGACAAAACAAAUCCCUGCAGCAUGGGCCAUUUGUCACCGUGUCCAAGCUCUUCAGCAAGUCCACUGGAGUCCUGGGACCUCUUCCUGGCAUGCUGCUAUGCUCUGGGUGCUAUGCUGUGGGUGGAAAGUCAUCUCCUAUUUCCUUUUUGGUAAAAUGUGAAUGGUAAUAUUGCUCUUGCUCGCGAGGAGGCAAAAGCGUUGUGGUGGUGUUUUUUUUUUUUUUUUUUUUUUUUUUUUUUUUUUUUUUUUUUUUGGUCUGUCAGGAUGCUUUUGGUCUUUCUGUUUAACACGUGAUAUUGGUAUAAAAAUGCUGGCAGUUGUGUUCCUCCCACCAGGUCCUGCUGCGUUUUGAGCAAGUGUUCAGUUCUUGUCCUGUGUGAGGACAGAGAAAGAGAAGGUCAAUAUUGGGAGAAGCCCUCAAAAUCAGUGCUGUGACAAACUGACUGAGGUGCUCUGCAGCUCGCCUGGCUUCAUCCAGGGCCUGUGCACAGAUCGUGGGCCAUGGAGACAGUAACUUCUCUGUUGUAUCCGUGGCAGGUGCGCGGAAGUUGUGCUUCCCUAUGUUCACAUGGUAACAAUGCAGAGAUAUCAAAGAUGCUUAUAAAAAAAAUAAAAAUUUGCAGUUCCACGAGAAUACUGGAUAAUUCACUGA